rnacentral:rRNA from 1 species
AGUGAACGCUGGCGGUAGGCCUAACACAUGCAAGUCGAACGGCAGCACAGUAAGAGCUUGCUCUUACGGGUGGCGAGUGGCGGACGGGUGAGGAAUACAUCGGAAUCUACUUUUUCGGGGGGGAUAACGUAGGGAAACUUACGCUAAUACCGCAUACGACCUACGGGUGAAAGCAGGGGAUCUUCGGACCUUGCGCGAUUGAAUGAGCCGAUGUCGGAUUAGCUAGUUGGCGGGGUAAAGGCCCACCAAGGCGACGAUCCGUAGCUGGUCUGAGAGGAUGAUCACACACACUGGAACUGAGAAACGGUCCAGACUCCUACGGGAGGCAGCAGUGGGGAAUAUUGGACAAUGGGGGAAAGCCUAAUACAGCAAUACCGCGUGGGUGAAGAAGCACUUCGGGUUGUAAAGCCAUUUUGUUGGGAAAGAAAAGCAGCAGGUUAAUACCCCGCUGUUCUGACGGUACCCAAAGAAUAAGCACCGGCUAACUUCGUG